GUAGGUGGCAAGCGUUGUCCGGGAAUUAUUGGGGCGUAAAGCGCGCGCAGGCGGUUCUUUAAGUCUGAUGUGAAAGCCCACGGGCUCAACCGUGGAGGGUCAUUGGAAACUGGAGAACUUGAGUACAGAAGAGGAAAGCGGAAUUCCACGUGUAGCGGUGAAAUGCGUAGAGAUGUGGAGGAACACCAGUGGCGAAGGCGGCUUUCUGGUCUGUAACUGACGCUGAGGCGCGAAAGCGUGGGGAGCAAACAGGAUUAGAUACCCUGGUAGUCCAUGCCGUAAACGAUGAGUGCUAAGUGUUAGGGGGUUUCCGCCCCUUAGUGCUGCAGCUAACGCAUUAAGCACUCCGCCUGGGGAGUACGGCCGCAAAGGCUG
rnacentral:rRNA from 1 species